rnacentral:antisense_RNA from 1 species
GGGUGCUUAGGGCUUUCUGUCCUGAGCAUAAGUGAGGGAUAUUCUUAAACUUUAAGAAUAAGAAAGCCCCGGGCAACUUUAACGUUAACCCGAGGCUGAUCCUCAACUCCCAACAAGUUGAGGUUAGCCUCUUACUCGCCGCAAGGCAAGGAGUAAAAAGGCAUG